GAGAGUUUGAUCCUGGCUCAGGAUGAACGCUAGCUACAGGCUUAACACAUGCAAGUCGAGGGGCAGCAUGGUCUUAGCUUGCUAAGGCCGAUGGCGACCGGCGCACGGGUGAGUAACGCGUAUCCAACCUGCCUUACACUCUUGGACAGCCUUCUGAAAGGGAGAUUAAUACAAGAUGUUAUCAUGAGUAAGCAUUUUCGCAUGAUUAAAGGUUUACCGGUGUAAGAUGGGGAUGCGUUCCAUUAGAUAGUAGGCGGGGUAACGGCCCACCUAGUCUUCGAUGGAUAGGGGUUCUGAGAGGAAGGUCCCCCACAUUGGAACUGAGACACGGUCCAAACUCCUACGGGAGGCAGCAGUGAGGAAUAUUGGUCAAUGGACGAGAGUCUGAACCAGCCAAGUAGCGUGAAGGAUGAAGGUUCUAUGGAUUGUAAACUUCUUUUAUACGGGAAUAAACGAAUCCACGCGUGGAUUUUUGCAUGUACCGUAUGAAUAAGGAUCGGCUAACUCCGUGCCAGCAGCCGCGGUAAUACGGAGGAUCCGAGCGUUAUCCGGAUUUAUUGGGUUUAAAGGGAGCGUAGAUGGGUUGUUAAGUCAGUUGUGAAAGUUUGCGGCUCAACCGUAAAAUUGCAAUUGAUACUGGCAGUCUUGAGUACAGUUGAGGUAGGCGGAAUUCGUGGUGUAGCGGUGAAAUGCUUAGAUAUCACGAAGAACUCCGAUUGCGAAGGCAGCUUACUAACCUGUAACUGACAUUGAUGCUCGAAAGUGUGGGUAUCAAACAGGAUUAGAUACCCUGGUAGUCCACACGGUAAACGAUGAAUACUCGCUGUAGGCGAUAUACAGUCUGCGGCCAAGCGAAAGCAUUAAGUAUUCCACCUGGGGAGUACGCCGGCAACGGUGAAACUCAAAGGAAUUGACGGGGGCCCGCACAAGCGGAGGAACAUGUGGUUUAAUUCGAUGAUACGCGAGGAACCUUACCCGGGCUUAAAUUGCAACCGAAUAUGGCGGAAACGCUAUAGCUAGCAAUAGCGGUUGUGAAGGUGCUGCAUGGUUGUCGUCAGCUCGUGCCGUGAGGUGUCGGCUUAAGUGCCAUAACGAGCGCAACCCUUGCCGAUAGUUACUAACAGGUCAUGCUGAGGACUCUGUCGGGACUGCCAUCGUAAGAUGUGAGGAAGGUGGGGAUGACGUCAAAUCAGCACGGCCCUUACGUCCGGGGCUACACACGUGUUACAAUGGGGGGUACAGAGGGCUGCUACCACGCAAGUGGAUGCCAAUCCCAAAAACCUCUCUCAGUUCGGAUUGAAGUCUGCAACCCGACUUCAUGAAGCUGGAUUCGCUAGUAAUCGCGCAUCAGCCACGGCGCGGUGAAUACGUUCCCGGGCCUUGUACACACCGCCCGUCAAGCCAUGGGAGCCGGGGGUACCUGAAGUGCGUAACCGCAAGGAGCGCCCUAGGGUAAAACUGGUGACUGGGGCUAAGUCGUAACAAGGUAGCCG
rnacentral:rRNA from 1 species